rnacentral:lncRNA from 10 species
CACCCGGAGGCAUGGACUCUUACACACCAGCAAUGCUUAAUGAAUAUCUGUGCUGGCCUCUGGGUGGAGAAUUGGCAUUUUGACUCUGUCCAUGCCAGAAGGUGUUGCUGAGAGUCCUGAAUCCCACUGCCAAGGCUGUGGCUAAUGUGUGCGUGAGAAGCCUGCAAGGUCAUUUCCCUCUGUUCUGUUUCUUUCUGACAAAAUUGAACACGUUUUUGCCACAAAUUAUCUCUGAACUUCCCUACAGCUCUGAGCUGUUGGCCUCACAGUGCAGCGAUGUUUGCAAGAGUCUGAGGGCCCCUGGCUGUAGGCUGGGCUACCUCUCCCUUCCUCCUCCCCUCCUUCCCGCUUCCCUCCUUCCAUCCCCGCAGGACCCAGGGUGGGGGUGGGGGUGGGGGUGGGAGCUGUGAGCACCCCACCCUGUGGUUCACAGGAAGAUCUGCCCUCUCUGCCGCUGGUGAUGAGUUUCAGUUGAACCGACAGUGAGCUAUCAGAUCGCUUUCUGCAGCGCGUGGCCCUCCCUCCUUCCUGUGGCGGCCCCUGGGCCUCCCAGUCCUCCUUCUGAGGCUGAUGUCUAUCUGUGAGGGGUCUGUGAGUGAGCAGUGCACACUCCGUCACAUGCUCACAUUUUCCGCUGAUGGUGCUCUCGGGUCCCCAGCCGUUCCAGGAGAUUAAUGAUGUGGUGCAAGACAGGGGAAAGAGGCGUCUUUCUUAACCACGCAAACUCCCUGUGACAGAUGAUUGGGUUUCCUGAAAGCAGAGCUGCUGACUUCCACUGACAUUUGUGUUAGAGCGAAUCCAAACCAGAUUUUGCGGAUUGCUUUAAAUUUGUCUGUGUGGAAUGCUCGGUCUCACUGCUCCCGUCGCUGUCAUCUUGGCAAAGGGCUACACCAAAGACGGGGCCCAUGGGGCGUGGAGAACAUUCCUUCCCGUCACACCGCCCAUGCUCAGUCAGGAGCGCACAUGGGUUCUUGUGUGUUUGUACUCAGGGAGACAGGGCUUGGGGGUCCAGCCAGGAGUAUCACCUCUGCAUCUGCACCACCCUGAAAUAGCCUGACGAAAAGUUGGCUUGGUUCCAUGCAAAGAGGCUGGCUGUGCUCAGGGCAGCCAGUACCUGGGCACUCUGCUUGGUGCAGAGCGGGCCUUUGGAUGAGUGAUUACCACACCAUCUGGAUGUCUUCCGGGAGGGACUAUCACAUCCUCCCUCACCAAGCUCUCCAGCUGCCGUGGCCUGGAAGCACUUUUCUGCUGGGCUCCCCCCAGGCAGCAACCCAGCAUCCUGGUGAGCACCAAGCCUCAGACUGUUGCAGUGCUUUUGCCGUUUGACCAUCCCCGCUGGUGACAUGGGCAUUGGCUGCCCCACAGCUGCCCGCCCUGCCCCAGGCAGGCCUCCUGGUACACAGUUGGUACCACCACCGUUUAAGACAUACCCGGGGUGAAGUGAAAAAGCAAUGCUCCACCCAGCGACUUGGGAGGGCAGAUUCGGCUGCUUGGCAGGGAGCAGGAGGAGGGGUGAGGGGGUGCUGGGAUUGGCAUCUGCGCAUCCUCCUGAGGCCUCCUGGGCCUUCAGGCCACUCCACAGCAGUGGCCCUCAUUGUGCCGUGGAGACUUGACCAACUCCCACAGACACGUGCUGCACACCCUACCCAGGCACGUGGCUGGGGCUUCUCUCCCAGGGUGCCCAGCCCAGCCCAGCUACUCUGCUAGGACUCCUGUGUGCUCUGGCCUGGUGACUGGACCACAGCACAGAUGGGAUCUCGGGCUGUCCCCACUUCUGCCCCUUAAAGCCCAGGCUGCUGCCUCUCCCAUGCGCCACCCCACUCUGCCUGCCUCUCUGCCUUCCCCAGCCAAGGUCCCAGCUCAGCUUCCCAGGGUCCCUUCUGGGUGGGUGGAAGGCAGGGAGUUUUCUUAUGGUUUCCCUGCCUACCAGGGCCUGGCCAGGGGACCAGGGGAUGGGGAGGGAGCUGGGAGCUGUUGGUGUCGCCCGGCCUCAGUAUGUAAGCUCUUCCUCCCCACCUUGGCAUUUCUGCUGCGGCUCUUUCUGGUUGUCCCCAGUGUGUCCCCAGUGUGGUCCCCAGUGGCCACGGGUGUGGACUCUGUUCAGGGUUCAACUUGGAACCUCACUUAGUGGCAACUGAUAUCAGGAAAGUGAUUUAACCUCCCCAUGCGUUUACUCUUUUUUAAAAAAUCUGUCAGAUGGGGAUACUAAUGGUAUUUGGCUUUCAGGGUUGUCUCAGUACUAAGUGGUGUUAGAGACUUAGCACAGGCUGGUGAAGGUCAGAGGGGUCAUGAGGACCAUCCCUGCCACAAUCCCUCUCCUCUCAGGGAGGCUGGAAUCAGGGAAAUGACCAAUUGACCAUUCAAUGGAGCCCUGCGAAAGGCUACAACAGGCUGUCCUGUGCGCUGUCCCAGAGUCCAGAUUCUCCUAUGAAAAUGACCUGCUCUAGUUAAGAGGCUGGUUUGCAAAGUGUUUCUGAAACGACUUUUCAAAUCAUGACCUAAGUUUCCACAGAAAUGCUACAGGGACAAACAGGAGGCUGGUGGGUGUGCUCUGUCCCCUCCUCCAUCCAACAAGGGCCACUUUGUCUCUGCAAACUCCUUUAAAUAUUGUGUUCCAUGUAAGAGUUUUUAAAAAAUACAUGACAUACUGUUAAACAAGUUUGAACAUGAAUACAUCCAUAAUACAUUUUUUUUGGUAAAGUUUGGGCACCACUGUGGUAAAAUGUCAUCAUCAUCGUGAUUAUCAUCACCAUUUUUGAAAUAAAAUCAUACAGCAUUCUGCCACAGGCCAGGCAGUCUUCUGAAUUCUGGUUAAUUCUAAUAUCUAUUUUAAUAGGGGAGAUUUUUCAGGCUAAGAAAGUGAGCUGCAACUCUGUGUGUUGUGUCCACGCCUGUCAUGAAACGACUCUUUAGACCCCUGGUGUAAACUGAAGGAGGGUCCCUUCGGGAGGUGCUGGGAUCUCAGGGUCUCCUGGGAUUGGACUCUGUCCUCCCCUGGUGAGGUUAGGGCUCACUGAGGGGCCAUCCUGGGGGCUCAGUGCCUCUGAGGCUUCCGUAUAUCGGUCAGUCAGCUGCUAAGCUUGGAAAGGGUCUGAGCCCUGUGGUCAGGACAAGCACCAAGCUCUGGGGUCCGACACCACAGAGUUUGAGGAGCACCGGCACCAGCCAGCCAGGGGUGAAUUGCAGCCGCCCAGUAUUCUCCUCUGGUGGUGGUGAUGAUUAGAUGACCGGGUGUCUGUCCGGCCUGUAUUAUGAUGGUGCCAGGGACUCUGCAGCUUUCACUCCUCUGUGGGCAGGAUUCUUUAGGAAAAGUAACAGAAACUGGCUGGACAACUUAAGGAGAGGGAAGCUUUUGGAAGAUUCUAGGGCAGCCGUCAGAACUGAAGAAUGAUUUGAAUUAAGCCAGGACAGGAGUCAAAGCAGGAGUCCCAGGACUGUGUCGUCCUAUGCUAAGAAUUGGCCCCACAGCGAGAGAGCAUUUGAGGCUCCUCUCCUGGCUGAGGGAGGGUGGGCUGCUUGGUUGGCCAUUCCAUCAAGGUUGGAUCUAGUGAGGAGGAGGUUCCCCAAGAAAAACAGAGGUCCUGCUACCUGAAGGAGGGAACAGACAUGGAGUGGGCAGUUGCCUCCACUUAGCUGGUCUCUGCUUGCAUGCUCAUUCUCUUCCCAUCUGUCUUGCAUACAGCUGUCUAAUCAAUCUAAACCACCAUUUGCAUCUGAGCACUUGCGUCUGAGUGUUGCUACGUUAGAGUUGAUGAUGGACUGAGGCAUUCUAUCUUUUCUUCUGGGCUUGUUAUUUCUCUUUAGUUUUGAAUUCUAGAUCUAGCAACUUUGCUAGCUCCAUCCUUUCCAGAAUUCAAAGUCCACUCCUUUCAGUCCAUCAAAUUGGCCAUCAGUUUCUUCCAGGGCAGAGACCAUGUCUUCCUCUGCUCCCUGUUUCUCUCUCUCUCCUCCCUGUCACUGGCCUCUCACUGCCCCAGUGCCUAGGAGAGGGCCCCACCAUCAUGCUCAUGUGUCCUUCUGUGCAAUGAGGUUGUUGCAAUUGGGGCGCUCAAGAGUAUGAUGAUGGGCGCAUCAAGUCAUAUGAUGAAAGAUCAGGCAGUUGUUAAAAUCAUGCUUAUGAAGAAAUGUUAAUGACACAGAUAAAUGCUCAUGGAAUGUCAAAUGAAAAAAGCAGGACCUUACACAGAAUAUAUCACACAGAAGGCUUGAGGAAAAAGCACACAAGAAAAUGCUACAAAAUAUUAAUAGUGGUUGUUUUUAAAUAGAGGAAUUUUGUGUGAUUUAUAUUUUCUUCUUUCUACUUUUCUGCAUUUUAAAAUUUCUUUCAAGGAUUAUAUAUUACUUCCAUUUUAGUGCUUGCUUUAUUUAUUUAUUUAUUUAUUUAGAGACGGAGUCUUGCUGUGUCGCCCAGGCUGGAGAGCAGUGGCGCAAUCUUGGCUCACUGCAACCUCCGCCUCCCAGGUUCAAAUGAUUCUCCUGCCUCAGCUUUUUGAAGCUGGGAUUACAGGGGCCCACCACCAUGCCCGGCUAAUUUUUGUAUUUUUAGUAGAGGUGGGGUUUUGCCAUGUUGGCCAGACUGCCUCAAACUCCUGACCUCAAGUGAUCCGACUGCCUCAGCCUCCCAAAGUGCUGGGGUUAUAAAUGUGAGCCAUUGCGCCCAGCUGGUAUUAUUUGUAUAAUGAGAAAACAAGGUUAAAAAUUAUUGAAAAGUAACAGAAGCAUCUGUGUUCUGAGGUGAUGCUGCCCAGCUUGAUGGAAUAUGAAUGGGAUUCAAUAUUUUCCCCUUUAUCCAGGUGUUUCAUUAUUUUACAGGAAGGUAAAGGGAGAUGUAAUUAAAACAAACAAAACAAAACAAAAUCCUCAACCCCCGCAAGACCACAUUUCCCAUCCUGAUUUUUAGAUUCUAUUGGAGAACAGAGUAAAAUCAGGUGGAUUUAUCAGGGUACCUCCUGGAGGAGAACCUGGAGACAUUCUCUGUCUGCACUCAAGGAAUGUGCCCAAAUGUGGAUAAAAUAUGCAUCCCUUCCAGUGUCAUGUGAUGCUUAUCCAACUCUGGAACUGGAAUAAAACAAACUGCUGUUAAAAUCUUGACUCAGCUGUUGACCUUAAGCAAGUCAUCAUUUACUCGUUCUCAUCUGCAAAAUGGGAAUGAUGACACCUUCCUGGCCAGGCUGUUGUAAAGAUAAUGAUCCUCCUUAUAGCAUGUCUUGUCUGGUGCCCGGCACACAGUAGGGGUUCAACCAUGAUGUGCUUUUUCUGCGAACACCUCUGUGUGGGCUCCAAGGGCAGAGUUCACUGUGGCCUCCCUGUUUCUCCUGCUCCAGUGGCAGGUCCCAUAGCUGCUGGGGAGAAGCAUCUGAAUAUUCCUGUCCCGAGUGUCACAAGAAGGUCUGCAGAUGUCUGAUAAGCAGCCAAGGAAGGGGAAUCAGAGUGAAGGAAAGGCAAGGAUUAAAAAAGAGACAGAGGGGCAUGAAAAAGAGAAAAUGGCAAUUGUGUAAUUAUAAAAGAUAAUAUAAAUGCCUAUUUUCUUUUUCUCUCUUAACUGAUUUAAAAAGCAAUUGUAUAAAAUAAUAUGUUUAUAGUAUAUUGCAGGGUGUGUAAAGUAUAGAAAUGUAAUCUAUUUGCCAAUAAUGGCACAAAGGAGGUGAGUGGGAAAAAAAGCUGCUCUGGGCGAAGGAAAAGACUACAGAUAGCAAAUUAACAAUUAUAGCAAUGUAUUGUUAGGUUUGUAACAUUAAUAGAUGUAAUAUGCAUAACAGUGAUACCAUAAAAAGAGGGGGGAAUAAAAUAGAACUAUAUAGGGAUAACAUUACUAUAUGUCACUGAAAUUAAGCUAGUAUAAAUAUGAAACUGAUUUUGAUAAGUUAAGAUAUACAUGGUAAGCCCUAGAGCAAUGACUAAAAACACAACCCCAAAAUAUAGUGAAAAAAUUAUCAAACAAAUUAUAAUACUGCAUUAGAAAAUAAUACAAUAGAAAGGGUAGAAGAGAAUAGCAAAACGAAAAGAGAGACAGGGGACAUAGAAAAUAAAAAGUAAAAUGGCGAAUGUCAAGGCAGCUAUAUCAAUAAUACAUUAAAUGAAUAAAUUAAGCAAUCCAGUCAAAAGGCAGAGAUUGUCAGACUGGAUAAAACAUGAUUCAGCCAUAUGCUAUCUAUAAUACAAAAUACACAGUUUAGAGUCAAAGAUACAAAUAAACUGAAAGUAAAAGAAUGGAAAAAGACACAUUAUGCCAAGAGCAAUCACAAUAAAGCUGGGUGGUCAUACUGAUAUCAGACAAAAUAGACUUUAAAACCAAAAAUAUUAGUACAAAGAGACAUUUUAUGAUGAUAAUAGGGUCAAUUCAUCAGGACGAUACAACAAUUAUAAACAUGUAUGCAACUAAUAACUGAGCACCCAGAUAGAUGAAACAAAAGCUGACAGAAAUGAAGAGAGAAAUGUACAAUUCAACAGUAAUUGUUGGAGACUUAAAUAACCCACUUUUAAUAAUGUAUUGAACUAAACAUAAGAUUAACAGGAAAAUAGAAGACUUGAAUAACACUGUAAGCUAAAUAGACUUAACACAUAUCUACAGAACAUUCUGUACAACUACAGAAUAUAUAUUGUUUUCGAGUACACAUAGAACAUUCUCCAGGAUAGACCAGAAGCCAUAAAACAAGCCACAACAAAUUUAAAAGAGUGGAAAUAAUACAAAGUACAAUAUCCAAUUAUAAUAUGAAUUAGAAAUCAAUAUCAGGGAAAAAAAAACUUGUAAAACUCACAAAUAUGUGGAAAUUAAACAACAUACUCCAAAAUAGCUAAUGGAUCAAAGAAGAAAUCAAAAGUGAAUCAGAAAAUACUCUCACAUGAGUAAAAACAAAG